ACGCAACCUUCCCAAAACUGGUGAAUAGCCCUCCGAAAGGAGGAUUAAUACACCGUAACAUAUAGAGAUGGCAUCAUCUUUAUAUUAUAGCUCCGGCGGUUUUGGAUGGGCGUGCGCCUGAUUAGGUAGUUGGCGGGGUAACGGCCCACCAAGCCUACGAUCAGUAACUGGUGUGAGAGCACGACCAGUCACACGGGCACUGAGACACGGGCCCGACUCCUACGGGAGGCAGCAGUAAGGAAUAUUGGUCAAUGGACGCAAGUCUGAACCA
rnacentral:rRNA from 1 species